rnacentral:rRNA from 1 species
AACGAACGCUGGCGGCAUGCCUAACACAUGCAAGUCGAACGAGACCUUCGGGUCUAGUGGCGCACGGGUGCGUAACGCGUGGGAACCUGCCCUUAGGUUCGGAAUAACUCCCCGAAAGGGGUGCUAAUACCGGAUAAUGUCUUCGGACCAAAGAUUUAUCGCCUUUGGAUGGGCCCGCGUUGGAUUAGCUAGUUGGUAGGGUAAAAGCCUACCAAGGCGACGAUCCAUAGCUGGUCUGAGAGGAUGAGCAGCCACACUGGGACUGAGACACGGCCCAGACUCCUACGGGAGGCAGCAGUGGGGAAUAUUGGACAAUGGGCGAAAGCAUGAUCCAGCAAUGCCGCGUGAGUGAUGAAGGCCUUAGGGUUGUAAAGCUAUUUUAACCGGGAUGAUAAUGACAGUACCGGGAGAAUAAGCUCCGGCUAACUCCGUG